rnacentral:lncRNA from 1 species
GUAGUACCACACCUGAGCUCAUAAUCUCUAUCUUGGUGCUCCCAAGUCCUUGUGAACUCAGCUUUAUCCCACAGAUCCAUCCAUGCCAUACACAUCUAAAAAUUCUCAGAGAAGUACCUUCGUGAGUGCAUCCGACUGGUUCUUCUUGAUAUGGACCUUCACCAGCUCCACUUCACCUUCUUCCACUAGCUUCCUGAUCCUGUGGUAUCGCACGUCUAUAUACUUUGUCCUAGCAUGGU